CAAGUACUCCCUCCGUUCGGAAUUACUCGUCCAAGAAAUGAAUGUAUCUAGAUGUAUUUUAGUUGUAGAUACAUCCAUUUUUGUGACAAGUAAUUCCGAACGGAGGGAGUAGCAA
rnacentral:pre_miRNA from 1 species